UCUCUCUCUCAGGAGGAGUGAUGAUGGAUGGACAGAGAGAGAGAAUGAAAGAGAGAGAGAAGGUAUAGUCUAUCUCUCUCAGGAGGAGUGAUGAGCUGUGAUGUCUUCUCUGCACUGACAGACAGAUGGAUGUGAAUGUGUGCAUAGAUACACACACAGGCUACUGUAGGUAUUUAUUAGACUGAUAUACAGUAUAUGAACAACUAUAUACUAAUAAAUGAUGGUGUUUGUUGCAUUUUAA